rnacentral:lncRNA from 1 species
CAGCAAGCUUGAGAAAAUGGCCUUCCUUGCCCAGAUAUCCUACAUGUGUUGAUGCCGCCUUGGAUGGAGUUUACUUUCUGGCAGUCAAAUCAGUGUUGAGUCACGUUACACUGAAAAUCAACUAAAUUUCUCAAGUUUUUUUUUUUAUCCGUGUACUGCUGUGUAGUCAUGUUCACGGUUCCCUACAUUUGUGAAGUCGGUAGACGGUGCCCAAGAUUUGAGCUUUGUUGUUUCUCUUAUUAGACGCUGUCCUCUCAGACUUAGUCCAUCAUUGUAGCUUGUUGAGAUAUUUGGGAGAGCUGAGCCCACCGGCGUAGUAGUUCUUUCAUUAUGUUCCUGCUCUUUGCCUUUUUGAUUAAUUUGCUAUGUUUGUCUUCAGAUAAAAUAUCUGAAAGGGAAGAGCUAAGGACAGACCUGGGUAGGAUUUAAGUAGAUACUGGAGCUUCCUUUUAACCAUUCUAGUAAUUCUUAACUUUGACUGCACCUAGAAUACCAAAAGAUUUCAAAACCACACCUGAGUGUGUUUGCGCCUGUGUGCACCAUCAUGAGACUCUACUUAAUUGGUCUAGGUUAAGACGUGAGCCUCAGGAUCCUGUUAGGCAACCAAGUUGAGAAUCUCUGGCAUCUCCAGCUGGAGCCCGGCUUACCCCUGAGGACUGUGAAAUCAACAGAAUUGAAAUAUAGGUUUGCUGAUGAUAUUUUGAGAAGUUCAACAACCUGGAUGUCCUACCAAGAUCCUGUUGAUAGUUCUGUGGCUCCUGAAGCCCAGGACCCUUAAUUCAGAAACAGGGAAAACAACUGAGGCCUUCGGUGAUGGGGAGGAAGCCUCUAAUUCCCUAGUUUCACGUUUGAUGAGGUGCCUUCCCACUGAUGAGCACAGCUGGCUGCAUGAUAUGAUACCAUGUUUUAGGAAAAGUACAAAAUGAAGAGUAGUCUCUCUGGAAUAUGAAGAACAAGAUGGGAAGGACUGAAGACACUAAGGUAAACCAUUAGUUUUCCCAGCUAAGCCUCUAUUUCAGUUCUACAUUUUCAAGGCAAAGUGCUGUGUGCCUUUCUUUCCUUUGAUUAUUGAACUGUGAUCCU